AUAUGUUUGCGACGUAACUCGACGGUUCUCCGAACGUUGUUCAUUCGAUCGAUUCCGUUUCGUAAAAUGUUACUUGCCAAGAUAAGAUUAUAAAUUUUUUAUAAUAAUAUAGAUUAUUCGUAUAGCAUUCCUCGUGAGAUUAUGGAGCAAAGAAUUGUUUUUAUUCGCGCAUAAUCAUUCCGCGAGACCGGUCGAAAGUUCGUGCACAGGGAUUUAUACGGUUAUCACGAAUAAUUAAUGUCUCCUUCUUAUGAUACUGCAAAGAAACAGUAUUCCUCGAGACAUUCUCUAUUGAUUUAGCAUCCGCGAUAUCUCGAGAGUGCGAUUCGCACACAAGGACGAUCGUGUUUCAAUUUGCAAUGUUCUAACGAAGCUUCGAUUCUCAAAUCUUAAGAGAAAUGUAAACGGUACCUGAUGACAUCAAUGCCUUUUAUUCCGAAGCGGACUCUUUUCGAAAUUCCGAAGAAUCCCACAGUCAAACUCCUGCACAGACUGACGCCCGACACUGCGCUCGAGGAAGUUUGUACUGUCGACAGGGGAAUGUAUUUACAAACACGAGCCGUGCGAGUUAUUGCUGAUCGUGACGAGAUUGAACAACACGUACUAGAAAAUCGCGCCGAAAGAAUGUAUUAUCUGCGAUUUUUCUUUAUCAACGGUAUUUGCAGUGUAUCUACACAGCUAUAUAAUCUAAUCGCAGCACAUAUUGAAUGUCUCCGAACUAAUAUUGCUAUUGGAGAAACUGUACUGGAAAUGUACUGGCGAAAAAUCGUGAGAGAUAAUGUGCAAUAAUUAGAUUGAUUUUUACAAAA